rnacentral:lncRNA from 1 species
AUUGUUAGCAUGAGAGACUUAAUUAUAAGUAUUGUAAUUUAAUUGGAUCUGAUUAAAUUAUGGAUCAAAUUUUAAUUAAUUUAAUUUAAAUUAAAUUUAAUUAAAUUUAAAUUAAUUUAAGGCUAAUUAGAUUUAAUUAUUCUAAUUAGAUUUAAAUUUCAAUCUUGAUUGGAUCAAGUUUGACAGUUUUUUCGAAUUGGAUU